UGGCGCACGGGUAAGUAACACGUAAGUAAUCUACCCUCGGGUGGGGAAUAACGUUCGGAAACGAACGCUAAUACCGCAUAAUGCAGCGGCACCGCAAGGUGACAGUUGUUAAAGAUUUAUUGCCUGGGGAGGAGCUUGCGGCAGAUUAGCUUGUUGGUAAGGUAACGGCUUACCAAGGCUACGAUCUGUAUCCGGUCUAAGAGGACGGUCGGACACACUGACACUGAAUAACGGGUCAG
rnacentral:rRNA from 1 species